UCCUAUGACCCAUUCCUCUAGUUGCUUGAUCAAUUGGUUACCAACCCGAUGGCCCAAGUAGUGCGGUACUUGGUGACCCCUUAAGGUAAUUCUGUAUGGAGAAAUCGGUGUUUGGGAGAGUAUCACCCCUUUUGGGCCGUUUAAAAAACUCGCCCAUACCUUUUUAUUGGGUAAUUAUGAGUGGAGCUAGUAGCCACCUGAGGCAAGUGGCUCAGUAACCAUUUGUUUCACGUUCACUUUAUCGGUUUCAGGCAAGAUAUAGUAGGAAGUGUAAAUAAUAAAUAAUAAACCCCCAAAUCUUUAAAUUUUAUUGGUCUAGUCAAUAGUUCUAAGAUUCUAUUCUUUCAAAAGGGCAGUUUAAUAUUAUAUGGCAUUCUAAUA
rnacentral:lncRNA from 1 species